GUUUCAGAAAAAAUUCUCGAGCUCUUCCUCUAAGCAUCUGAUACAAAAACAAGGCCAGGUCAGAUCCAAGAUUCAGUCUGUUAUAACCUCUGGGUUUGUAAUUUUAAUUUGAAAUUUUUAGUUACUGUCUUGUCAUGAUAUUUGAUUUGGGUUACAAUUUGCAGUUUCCCUCACCUGUUGAUCCUUGAUGGGACAUUCUCUGAGGACAUAAUCUCCAAUGGGUUUUUAAUGGCUGCUUGAUCUUACUGCAAUAAUGGAAGCCUUUUCAAGGACUUCGUGAUAUCUCUUUCCAAUUCAGCUUCUCCACUCACUUUUGGUUCAGAUGAUGCGUUCACACUUAAUUCAGCACCCACUGGACAGACUUGGUGCUUGCGCGUACAAGAUGAAGACAAGUGAAUUUCUCUCUACUUGGACAGAUGUCCGUUGUUGAAAGCAUAAAUUGCCUCUCUCGAUGGAUGGUUCAGAUGCCUCUGAACGACAGAGUUAAGCAAGUUUUUAAUCUUCAAGUACAAUCAUCCGAUCAACCAUCUUCUUCUAACACGAGAGAGUUGUCUUCCUCAGGGCAGAAUCAAUUUAAGAUAUUAACAGCUUCUGUUUCAUUUUCUCCACGUCUACAAUUUGAUGACGUCAUUCCCGUCAUCAGCACAAGGCACCCAAAUUUCAACAACCACACAUCAUAUAGCUUCCGUCUCCUGCCUCAGUUCUUCCUGAUCACCAUGCAUUUCCAGAAUUGGGUUUUGCAGCUGGUACUAGCAUGUCUCCUAUUGUACAGACUUUCACCCACGCAUGCAAACGGAAAUUGGCUGUGUUUUUGGCUAGCAAAACAGAUCAGAAGGAUGUUGGUUUUUGCGGAGUUUUAUCGAAAAACUCUGCACAGUAGAUGAAACGAUGGAGGGCCUUCACGGACAGCAACAUGGUAAAGGCCCAGAACAAGGAGCUGCUCUUUUGGAUUACUGUCUUUUCAGUCUGGCUUUAUAUGUUGUCUCAAGUUUUCUACUUCGCCUUUUGGUUGUGUAAGUGUCUCUGCUGUUGCAUGUUUUCUGGAAUAUCAUUGGCAAGAUUUUCAUCAGCCCAUGUUUUUGGCCUGGGUCUUUCAACUCCUACCGGAGAUUUUCAAAGCUCUUGUUCUCCAAUAUGCAUGGAGAUCAAGCAUUCUCAUGGUUCGUACAACACUGUCAACUAG